rnacentral:rRNA from 1 species
AUUGAACGCUGGCGGCAUGCUUUACACAUGCAAGUCGAACGGUAACAGGCCUUCGGGUGCUGACGAGUGGCGAACGGGUGAGUAAUGCAUCGGAACGUACCCAGAGGUGGGGGAUAACGCAGCUAAAGCUGUGCUAAUACCGCAUGUGAUCUGAGGAUGAAAGCGGGGGACCGAGCAGCAAUGUUUGGCCUCGCGCCUUUGGAGCGGCCGAUGUCGGAUUAGCUAGUUGGUGGGGUAAAGGCCUACCAAGGCGACGAUCCGUAGCUGGUCUGAGAGGACGACCAGCCACACUGGGACUGAGACACGGCCCAGACUCCUACGGGAGGCAGCAGUGGGGAAUUUUGGACAAUGGGCGCAAGCCUGAUCCAGCAAUGCCGCGUGCGGGAAGAAGGCCUUCGGGUUGUAAACCGCUUUUGGCAGGAACGAAACGGUGUCCGCUAAUACCGGGCGCUAAUGACGGUACCUGCAGAAUAAGCACCGGCUAACUACGUG